GAUGAACGCUUUCUUCUUUCCUAAUACAUGCAAGUCGAGCGAACGGGCGAGAAGCUUGCUUCUCUGAUGUUAGCGGCGGACGGGUGAGUAACACGUGGAUAACCUACCUAUAAGACUGGGAUAACUUCGGGAAACCGGAGCUAAUACCGGAUGAUAUUUUGAACCGCAUGGUUCAAAAGUGAAAGACGGUCUUGCUGUCACUUAUAGAUGGAUCCGCGCUGCAUUAGCUAGUUGGUAAGGUAACGGCUUACCAAGGCAACGAUGCAUAGCCGACCUGAGAGGGUGAUCGGCCACACUGGAACUGAGACACGGUCCAGACUCCUACGGGAGGCAGCAGUAGGGAAUCUUCCGCAAUGGGCGAAAGCCUGACGGAGCAACGCCGCGUGAGUGAUGAAGGUCUUCGGAUCGUAAAACUCUGUUAUUAGGGAAGAACAUAUGUGUAAGUAACUGUGCACAUCUUGACGGUACCUAAUCAGAAAGCCACGGCUAACUACGUG
rnacentral:rRNA from 1 species